rnacentral:rRNA from 1 species
CAGUCGCCACGGUAAUACAGAGGGUGCGAGCGUUAAUCGGAUUUACUGGGCGUAAAGCGUGCGUAGGCGGCUAAUUGAGUCGGAUGUGAAAUCCCCGAGCUUAACUUGGGAAUUGCAUUCGAUACUGGUUAGCUAGAGUGUGGGAGAGGAUGGUAGAAUUCCAGGUGUAGCGGUGAAAUGCGUAGAGAUCUGGAGGAAUACCGAUGGCGAAGGCAGCCAUCUGGCCUAACACUGACGCUGAGGUACGAAAGCAUGGGGAGCAAACAGGAUUAGAUACCCGGGUAGUCCCUGUCUCUUAUAU